rnacentral:rRNA from 1 species
AGUGAACGCUGGCGGUAGGCCUAACACAUGCAAGUCGAACGGCAGCACAGUAAGAGCUUGCUCUUACGGGUGGCGAGUGGCGGACGGGUGAGGAAUACAUCGGAAUCUACUUUUUCGUGGGGGAUAACGUAGGGAAACUUACGCUAAUACCGCAUAAGACCUACGGGUGAAAGCAGGGGAUCUUCGGACCUUGCCCGAUUUAAUGAGCCGAUGUCGGAUUAGCUAGUUGGCGGGGUAAAGGCCCACCAAGGCGACGAUCCGUAGCUGGUCUGAGAGGAUGAUCAGCCACACUGGAACUGAGACACGGUCCAGACUCCUACGGGAGGCAGCAGUGGGGAAUAUUGGACAAUGGGCGCAAGCCUGAUCCAGCCAUACCGCGUAGGUGAAGAAGGCCUUCGGGUUGUAAAGCCCUUUUGUUGGGAAAGAAAAGCAGCAGGUUAAUACCCCGCUGUUCUGACGGUACCCAAAGAAUAAGCACCGGCUAACUUCGUG